AUUGAACGCUGGCGGCAGGCCUAACACAUGCAAGUCGAACGAGUGGCGGACGGGUGAGUAAUGUCUGGGAAACUGCCCGAUGGAGGGGGGUAACUACUGGAAACGGUAGCUAAUCCCGCAUACCAUCGGAUGGUCCCAGAUGGGAUUAGCUAGUAGGUGGGGUAACGGCGCACCUAGGCGACGAUCCCUAGCUGGUCGUAGAGGAUGACACGCCACACUGGAACUGAGGCACGGUCAAGACUCCUACGGUAGGCAGCAGUGGGGAAUAUUGCACAAUGGGAGCAAGCCUGAUGCAGCCAUGCCGCGUGUAUGAAGAAGGCCGUCGGGUUGUAAAGUACUUUCAGCGAGGAGGCGUUACUCGCAGAAGAAGCACCGGCUAACUCCGUGCCAGCAGCCGCGGUAAUUC
rnacentral:rRNA from 1 species